rnacentral:lncRNA from 1 species
GGCAUGACUAUGUGCGCGUCUGUACCCGGAUCUAAUGUUUUAAAAAUUGGAUCGAAUCGGUAGGUUCUACCGGUUGAACCGUUGAGUGGUCGAAAAAACGGUCCGGUUACCCAUUAAAACUCAUUUUGGGCAAAUCCUGGUCAACCCGGCGGUUAACCGGUUAACCGUGAUUGAACCGUUCAGUGAACGGAUUGACCGGUCGAUUGUAGAUGUCUGACUUUUUGGUGAUUUUAAUCACCUUUAGACCCCUCACAAUUUUAUGUAUAUCUUACUUGACUACAUGUUAAAUGAUUACAUUUACCUUCUCCAAUUAAUUUUUAUUUUAUCUAAUUAUUUUUUUUUUUUUUUUUAUAAAUAAUUUAUGACUUUACGGUUCGAUAACGGUGUCCAUAACGGUUGACCCGACGUUAAACCGAUGACCCGUGACCCUUGCUUUUUUAGUUCAACCCGGGUUUUCCGAUUUUUAAAAUAUUGCCCGGAUCUAUGUUUAUAGGAUUACUUUUAACAACUGUAGAUUUUGUUUCAAAAAAUGGGGAAGGGACUACCAUGCAACCCAGGUCAACGAGGGACUUUACAAGAUGAAGUGAGCCAUAUGUCACGGGCUUAGUUUUUGAACGCUUCGACCAGUGCGGUCUUAGACACUUUUGCCUUCAAAAGAUGCUAAGUAAGUUUUAAGACAACCGAAAUAAAGCGUAGGGAAGGAGUAAGUACAGAAGAAGAGACUUGGAGUUCCAAACUUCGAUCCCUUUAUUCCCUCCCUACAAAUGAUAGUUUAUCCCCUAUUUUAACUCUCUUACCUCUCUAGAAUGUUUCUACAAUUUUUCAGAUAUUUAUGUCAUAGCUUUCUUAUAUUCCAAAGUUCUAGAAAUUUCCACACACUUUUCUAUUUACACUUACGAUGAAGAACUUCUAGAACUUUCUUCCCAAAUUCAUAACCUCUAGAAUGUUCUUAAAUCUUCCCCAUAUUUUAGAAGCUUUUCUCACUUUCUAUAAUAUUCUAACCUUUCUAGAAUAUUUAGAAUAGCUUGGGAAGCCUCUAAACCUUCUAUAAUCUUUUUUCGUUUUGCGGACGCAUGACAUUCUCCCCACCAAUUAAGGGGGGGGGGGGGGGGUGGUCGAACCGUGACACAUAGCUCGACUCAACCCCUCCAAGUCUUAACACUUAGAAUUGGUAGGA